CAACCAAAAAACCAACACAACAAACAAAAAACCAACACAACAACCAAACGAAUCCAUGCUUAAGGGAAGGAAAAACAGAAAAGCAGCAGCAAGCAAUUUGGGAAAACCUUGCCAUUUAAGACUUUCCCGCUGCCGUGCCCUUGGGAGAGCGGCGAGCCCGGUGCCGAGGGGCGGCGGGUGCUGGCAGCGGUGACAGGCUGGGCAGCUGCAGCCGGGUCACAGUGAGACGAGCAGCGCGCUCGCCCUGCCACCGCCAUGUGGGGCUUUCAGCGGGGCUCCCGGCUGCUGGCCUCCGUGCUGCAGACCCCACGGGUCCCCCGGGCACAGGUCACCUCCAAGCCACCUGAACAUCCAGUCUCUGCUGCUGAGCAAGUCAUUGCUUUUUCCGUGAUGUGUGCGUGCUUCCUGAUGCCAACAGCCUGGAUCCUGGCACACGUGGAGCACUACAAGAGCAGGACAGAAUAAGAAGUGGCAAGAGCAACCUGCACCCCAUUGAGAGCAGAAGUAUGAGCGAAGAUAAGGCCACACAACAGAUCUUCGCUGGGGAGGAACCCUCCGAGUUUGUUCAUUAAAAUUCACCUUAGCAUUCA